UCGUUAGCUCAGUCGGUAGAGCAGUUGGCUUUUAACCAAUUGGUCGCUGGUUCGAACCCAGCACG
rnacentral:tRNA from 1 species